rnacentral:rRNA from 1 species
GGACCCGCACAAGCAGCGGAGCGGAUGUGGUUUAAUUCGAGGCAACGCGAAGAACCUUACCAGGGCUUGACAUCUCCCUGACCGGCGUGUAACGGCGCCUUUCCUUCGGGACAGGGAUGACAGGUGGUGCAUGGUUGUCGUCAGCUCGUGUCGUGAGAUGUUGGGUUAAGUCCCGCAACGAGCGCAACCCUUGCCUUUAGUUGCCAUCAGGUCAUGCUGGGCACUCUAGAGGGACUGCCGGGGAUAACUCGGAGGAAGGUGGGGAUGACGUCAAAUCAUCAUGCCCCUUAUGUUCUGGGCUACACACGUGCUACAAUGGCCGGUACAAAGAGAAGCAAUGCGGCGACGCGGAGCAAAUCACCAAAACCGGUCCCAGUUCGGAUUGCAGGCUGAAACCCGCCUGCAUGAAGUCGGAGUUGCUAGUAAUCGUGAAUCAGAAUGUCA